UACGGAGGGUGCAAGCGUUAAUCGGAAUUACUGGGCGUAAAGGGCGCGUAGGCGGACAGUUUAGUCAGAGGUGAAAGCCCAGGGCUCAACCUCGGAACUGCCUUUGAUACUGCAAAUCUCGAGUCCGGAAGAGGUGAGUGGAAUUCCUAGUGUAGAGGUGAAAUUCGUAGAUAUUAGGAAGAACACCAGUGGCGAAGGCGGCUCACUGGUCCGGUACUGACG
rnacentral:rRNA from 1 species